CCGCGCUGAGUAUGAUGCUCGGAUCGUACGCUCGUGUAGGACGGACAGGUACGUUCGAAUGCCGUACUUGACGUACUACAGAAGGCAAGCUACUACGUGCAGCAGCGGGUAUACGUAGUGCAGCGAUGUCAGACUAUCGGCGUAAGGCUCGCCGGCGGUUCCUUAGUUUGAUUGUGAAGGCCCCGGCUCACCGGGGAGGGUCAUUGGUAACUGGGAACUGAGUGCAGAGGAGGAGAGUGGAAUCCACGUGUAGCCGUGAAAUGCGUAGAGAUGUGGAGGAACACCAGUGGCGAAGGCGACUCUCCUGGUCUGUAACUGACGCUGAGGAGCGAAAGCGUGGGGAGCGAACAGGAUUAGAUACCCUGGUAGUACACGCCCGUAAACGAUGAGUGCUAAGUGUUAGGGGGGUUUCCGCCCUUUAGUGCUGCAGCUAACGCAUUAAGCACUCCGCCUGGGGAGUACGGUCGCAAGACUGAAACUCAAAGGAAUUGACGGGGGCCCGCACAAGCGGUGGAGCAUGUGGUUUAAUUCGAAGCAACGCGAAGAACCUUACCAGGUCUUGACAUCCUCUGACAAUCCUAGAGAUAGGACGUCCCCUUCGGGGGCAGAGUGACAGGUGGUGCAUGGUUGUUGUCAGCUCGUGUCGUGAGAUGUUGGGUUAAGUCCCGCAACGAGCGCAACCCUUGAUCUUAGUUGCCAGCAUUCAGUUGGGCACUUUAAGGUGACUGCCGGUGACAAACCGGAGGAAGGUGGGGAUGACGUCAAAUCAUCAUGCCCCUUAUGACCUGGGCUACACACGUGCUACAAUGGACAGAACAAAGGGCAGCGAAACCGCGAGGUUAAGCCAAUCCCACAAAUCUGUUCUCAGUUCGGAUCGCAGUUUGCAACUUGACUGCGUGAAGCUGGAAUCGCUGUAAUCGCGGAUCAGCAUGCCGCGGUGAAUACGUUCCCGGGCCUUGUACACACCGCCCGUCACACCACGAGAGUUUGUAACACCCGAAGUCGGU
rnacentral:rRNA from 1 species